UGUGGACACGCGGUGUGACUCAUUGGGGAUCGUUGUCAUUAUCAUUUACCAGGGAGAUUGUGAAAAGGGAGUUUAUGCUUAAAUUGCAAGAAAGCAGCUCUUGUUAUGGCACCGGCGUGGGUCGCAGGCCCAUGAGAAAGGGCUGCCCUGGGCCUGCGAUUCGAAGCGUUGCCUCCGCAGGCCGGUCUGUGCGGGGCAGGGCGCUGCGGAGCUCGGACCCGUCAGCAACAGAACACAGGCGACGUCAGAUGUUGGAAGACGCAUGUCACAUCACCCGACUGGACACAGAACUGCGUCCAGGCCGCUGUUGGAACACCACGCACCUCUGCCCUGCUUCAAUGUUGUCAUGAUCACCAGGAUCCAUACUGAGGAACAAAGCCGUGUUCCUGAGGAAUGUAGAGAGUUCAUUCAGCAGCACCCCAGAACCUACACGCAUGCUUACACGCAUGAUGGUGAGAAACAGUGAGGAAAGUCACAGAAGAAGAUUCAUCAAAUGCUUCCUUUUCUGUAACUUAAUAAAGUAAAUUUAAGUU